AUUGAACGCUGGCGGCAGGCCUAACACAUGCAAGUCGAGCGGAUGAAGGGAGCUUGCUCCUGGAUUCAGCGGCGGACGGGUGAGUAAUGCCUAGGAAUCUGCCUGGUAGUGGGGGAUAACGUCCGGAAACGGGCGCUAAUACCGCAUACGUCCUGAGGGAGAAAGUGGGGGAUCUUCGGACCACACGCUAUCAGAUGAGCCUAGGUCGGAUUAGCUAGUUGGUGAGGUAAAGGCCUACCAAGGCGACGAUCCGGAACUGGUCUGAGAGGAUGAGCAGUCACUGUAGAACUGCGACACGGUCCAGCCUCCCACGGGAUGCAUCAGUCGGCAAUAUUAGCUGAGUUACGAAGGCCUGCUCCAGCCCUACCUCGUGUGUGAAGAAGGUCUUCGGAUUGUAAAGCUGUUUCAGGUGGGAGGAAGGGUAGUAAGUUAAUACCUUGCUGUCUUGACGUUACCAACAGAAUAAGCACCGGCUAACUUCGUG
rnacentral:rRNA from 1 species